AGUUGGAAACUUUCGAUGUCAAUGCCUGUUGAGAAGCUUGUGGAUCCACCUUAUUCUCUUAAAUUAGAACAAAUUCUAUUGCAUCAAACCCUUUGGAUACUAUGAAUAUCACAGUUCUUUCCGACAUGAAUAGUGAUCAUCACAAACAUGUUCUUUACAAACAUAGCCUCUGAGUUCAAACGGGAAUCUAAUGUUUUUUUUAUUUGAACAUUAGAA